CACACAUGCCAAUAAAAUCACUGACAAUGAUGACUUUGGCAAAUACUUAUAACAAGCAUCUACAUGACUUUUAUGGUUCAAUCUCAUGACCAGAGAAGAAUACAGAGUGAUAAUAAAAUCAGCGGGAAAAAGACUACAUUAAAAUCCUAGAAACACUUUUAAGAGCUGGCUAAAUCUUUCCAGCUUUACUGAAAAGUGUAUUUCAUUAGCUAACUAACCAUUUUGACUCUAAUGGAUCGUCAUUCAAUGGCUGCAUCUAAGUGAACACUGUACCACAUAGUUUGCCCUCUUCCUAAUACAAAAAUUAAUUUAGAAGAGUCAUCUCUUUCCUUUGUAAAAAUAGUGAAUUCAAGCCUAAGUUUCUGGGUAAUAAUUACAAACACAUAAAAAAAUCAAAAUGUUUCCCUUAAUUUGUAAAUCACAAUGUAACUCAAAUGAGAUAGUAAUAUUGUUUACUUAACAAUAUAAAGAAAUCUUGAAACAAAUUUUGGUAACACAUAUCUAAUAAAUAAUUUCAUUUUUCAUGCAUAUACAGCUAUGAAGUUAAUAAAAUUUGCAUAUAGGUCAACUUUUCAAAAAAUCUACUUAACAUUUAGACUAAAUAAAAGGUUAUCUGGCAUAUUAACUCUGGGAAUUCAUCUUUACCUUUAUCAAGAUAAACAUACAGUACUAAACACAAGUUUAGAAUAUUUGAAUGCUUCCUUCCACUGAGCUCAUCUACACCCAAAAUACAAUGCCCAAAUAUUCUAGAUCUUCCAUACACUUUUUUGAAGUUCUAUAUUCAUUUUUCCUACUUAUUGUCGCAGAUAAAACAGGCGAAAUAGCACCAUCUGGUGGGCAUCACUUUCGUUUUAAAAUAAUUUUCUAAAUUUACCUUAUGAAUACUUCUUUGAAAAAACUGCAUAACAAUUCUAAAUCAUUUAUAAAGUACUAUAAAUAGUGAAGUAGCUUGGUUACCAAGAAAAAUAUAUUUGAAUAUUGAACCAAGGUUGCAACAUUGCUUUGGUUUUUAAUUAUUGAGAAGUUAAACAUUAUUGUAACAAUGUAAUUAUUGUAAAGCUGAAAUCUCCUCAGAGCUUAACCUUGUGGUGGUAUUAGUUUUUUUUUAAGGUGUCGAUUUUUAAUACAAAAAAAUUUACAUUCUUUAUAUACAGGUAAUACAUCUAUACAGUUCAAUGGAGAGAAUGAAAUGUGAACAUAAUCUUCAAAAAAGAUAGUGUGGUCUUUAUUUAUGUUUAAAAAAAAUUUUUUUUGAGACGUAAUCUCACUCAGGCUGGAAUGCAGUGUGGCGUGAUGGCUCACUGCAACCUCUGACUCCUGGGUUCAAGCGAUUUCCGUGCCUCAGAGUCCCAAGUAGCUGGGACCACAAGUGUGCACCACCAUGCCCAGCUAACUUUUGUAUUGUUAGUAGAGACGGGAUUUCACCAUAUUGCCCAGGCUGGUCUCGAACUCCUGGCCUCAACCUCCCAAAGUGCUGGGAUUACAGGCAGGAGCCACUGCGCCCAGCCUUAAAAUGUGAUUUAUUUCGAUGUGUCUAAAUAAGCAACUGAAAUUAGUCCUGAGUACUAACAGUGUGCUGAAUAAUGGUCAAAAUAUAAAUUAGGCCACAAUUUUAUGAACUAAAACAGACACAUAAUACCUAUGGAAAGGAAUAUAAACAAACUGAAAACAAAAUCAGAAGAAAUAAGAUGAUGUUACUUAAUUUGGUACAUUUCAUAUCAGUGAUGCAGGAUUUUUCUUGGUCCCUUCAUUGGACUUGCAACAAGGGCGACAGUUUACUCACGCCACAGCGCUCAACCCCCUGCAGGAGG
rnacentral:lncRNA from 10 species